rnacentral:rRNA from 1 species
CCUACGGGAGGCAGCAGUGAGGAAUAUUGGUCAAUGGACGAGAGUCUGAACCAGCCAAGUAGCGUGAAGGAUGAAGGCCCUAUGGGUUGUAAACUUCUGUUAUAGGGGAAUAAAAUGUGGCAAGUGUGGGAUUUUGUAUGUACCAUAUGAAGAAGGAUCGGCUAACUCCGUGCCAGCAGCCGCGGUAAUACGGAGGAUCCGAGCGUUAUCCGGAGUUAUGGGGUUUAAAGGGAGCGUAGGGGGCUUGUUAAGUCAGUUGUGAAAGUUUGCGGCUCCACCGUAAAAUUGCAGGUGAAACUGGCAGUCUUGUGUUCAGUAGCGGUGGGCGGCAUUC